rnacentral:rRNA from 1 species
CGGACGGGUGAGUAAUGUCUGGGAAACUGCCUGAUGGAGGGGGAUAACUACUGGAAACGGUAGCAAUACCGCAUAACGUCGCAAGACCAAAGAGGGGGACCUUAGGGCCUCUUGCCAUCGGAUGUGCCCAGAUGGGAUUAGCUUGUUGGUGGGGUAACGGCUCACCAGGCGACGAUCCCUAGCUGGUCUGAGAGGAUGACCAGCCACACUGGAACUGAGACACGGUCCAG